rnacentral:rRNA from 1 species
UACGUAGGUGGCGAGCGUUAUCCGGAUUUAUUGGGUGUAAAGGGCGUGUAGGCGGGAGCGCAAGUCAGAUGUGAAAACUCAGGGCUCAACCCUGAGCCUGCAUUUGAAACUGUGUUUCUUGAGUGCUGGAGAGGCAAUCGGAAUUCCGUGUGUAGCGGUGAAAUGCGUAGAUAUACGGAGGAACACCAGUGGCGAAGGCGGAUUGCUGGACAGUAACUGACGCUGAGGCGCGAAAGCGUGGGGAGCAAACAGG